rnacentral:rRNA from 1 species
UACGGGGGGGGCAAGCGUUGUUCGGAAUUACUGGGCGUAAAGGGCGCGUAGGCGGCCUUCUAAGUCGAACGUGAAAUCCCCGGGCUCAACCCGGGAACUGCGUCCGAUACUGGAAGGCUUGAAUCCGGGAGAGGGAUGCGGAAUUCCAGGUGUAGCGGUGAAAUGCGUAGAUAUUGGGAAGAACACCAGUGGCGAAAGCGAGCUUCUGGGUUGUUACUGACGCUGAGGUACGAAAGCGUGGGGAGCAAACGGG